UUCCUUGGAAAAGGACAGCUGAGAGGGUGAAACUCCCGUCCGCCUGGUAGAAUGAGUCUUUGUCAACGAGUCGAGUUGUUUGGGAUUGCAGCUCUAAUUUGGUGGUAAAUUCCAUCUAAAGCUAAAUAUUGGUGGGAGACCGAUAGCGUACAAGUACCGUGAGGGAAAGAUGCAAAGAACUUUGAAAAGAGAGUUAAAGAGUACCUGAAAUUGCUGAAACGGAAGCGAAGGAAACCAGUGUUUGUUGGUUCAUAUUUCCUUGGCCACUUGUGGUUUGGGCG
rnacentral:rRNA from 1 species